AUUGAACGCUGGCGGCAGGCCUAACACAUGCAAGUCGAGCGGAUGAAGGGAGCUUGCUCCUGGAUUCAGCGGCGGACGGGUGAGUAAUGCCUAGGAAUCUGCCUGGUAGUGGGGGAUAACGUCCGGAAACGGGCGCUAAUACCGCAUACGUCCUGAGGGAGAAAGUGGGGGAUCUUCGGACCUCACGCUAUCAGAUGAGCCUAGGUCGGAUUAGCUAGUUGGUGGGGUAAAGGCCUACCAAGGCGACGAUCCGUAGCUGGUCUGGGAGGAUGAUCAGUCACACUGGAACUGAGACACGGUCCAGACUCCUACGGGAGGCAGCAGUGGGGAAUAUUGGACAAUGGGCGAAAGCCUGAUCCAGCCAUGCCGCGUGUGUGAAGAAGGUCUUCGGAUUGUAAAGCACUUUAAGUUGGGAGGAAGGGCAGUAAGUUAAUACCUUGCUGUUUUGACGUUACCAACAGAAUAAGCACCGGCUAACUUCGUG
rnacentral:rRNA from 1 species